rnacentral:rRNA from 1 species
AUGAACGCUGGCGGCGUGCCUCAUCCAUGCAAGUCGAGCGAACAGACGAGGAGCUUGCUCCUCUGACGUUAGCGGCGGACGGGUGAGUAACACGUGGAUAACCUACCUAUAUGACUGGGAUAACUUCGGGAAACCGGAGCUAAUACCGGAUAAUAUAUUGAACCGCAUGGUUCAAUAGUGAAAGACGGUUUUGCUGUCACUUAUAGAUGGAUCCGCGCCGCAUUAGCUAGUUGGUAAGGUAACGGCUUACCAAGGCAACGAUGCGUAGCCGACCUGAGAGGGUGAUCGGCCACACUGGAACUGAGACACGGUCCAGACUCCUACGGGAGGCAGCAGUAGGGAAUCUUCCGCAAUGGGCGAAAGCCUGACGGAGCAACGCCGCGUGAGUGAUGAAGGUCUUCGGAUCGUAAAACUCUGUUAUUAGGGAAGAACAAAUGUGUAAGUAACUAUGCACGUCUUGACGGUACCUAAUCAGAAAGCCACGGCUAACUACGUG